UACGUAGGUGGCGAGCGUUGUCCGGAAUUACUGGGUGUAAAGCGCGUGUAGGCGGGGGGCCAAGUUUGUGGUGAAAUCGCCUGGCUUAACUGGGCGGGGUCCAUGGAAACUGGUCACCUGGAGGUCGGUAGAGGCAAGUGGAAUUCCCGGUGUAGUGGUGAAAUGCGUAGAGAUCGGGAGGAACACCAGUGGCGAAGGCGGCUUGCUGGGCCGGACCUGACGCUGAGACGCGAAGGCGUGGGGAGCGAACGGG
rnacentral:rRNA from 1 species